CAGUCGCCGCGGUAAUACGGAGGGAGCUAGCGUUGUUCGGAAUUACUGGGCGUAAAGCGCACGUAGGCGGUUAUUCAAGUCAGAGGUGAAAGCCCGGGGCUCAACCCCGGAACUGCCUUUGAAACUAGAUGACUAGAAUCUUGGAGAGGUCAGUGGAAUUCCGAGUGUAGAGGUGAAAUUCGUAGAUAUUCGGAAGAACACCAGUGGCGAAGGCGACUGACUGGACAAGUAUUGACGCUGAGGUGCGAAAGCGUGGGGAGCAAACAGGAUUAGAUACCCCGGUAGUCCCUGUCUCUUAUAC
rnacentral:rRNA from 1 species